rnacentral:rRNA from 1 species
AUUGAACGCUAGCGGGGUGCUUUACACAUGCAAGUCGAACCAGUGGCGGACCGGUGAGUAAUGUCUCUGACCGUGCCCCACAGCGGGGGAUAACUACUCGAAAUGGUGGCGAAUACCGCAUCCCAGUGAGGCGGCCGAUAUCGGAUUAGCUAGUUGGUGGGGUAAAGGCUCACCAAGGCAACGAUCCGUAGGUGGUUGGAGAGGACGACCCGCCACACUGGGACUGAGACACGGCCCAGACUCCUACGGGAGGCCGCAGUGGGGAAUUUUGGACAAUGGGGGAAACCCUGAUCCAGCCAUCCCGCGUGUAUGAGAAGGCCUUCGGGUUGUAAAGUACUUUUGGCAGAGAAGCGGUAUCUGCAGAAUAAGCACCGGCUAACUACGUGCCAGCAGCCGCGGUAAUUC